rnacentral:lncRNA from 1 species
CAGAAAAUUGCUCUCUUCUCUUCUCUUCUCUUCUCUUCUCUUCUCUUCUCUUCUCUUCUCUUCUCUUCUCUUCUCUUUCUUCUCUUCUCUCUUCUCUUCUCUUCUCUUCUCUUCUCUUCUCUUCUCUUUUCUCUUCUUCUCUUUUCUCUUUUCUCUUCUCUUCUCUUUUCUCUCUUCUCUUCUCUUCUCUUCUCUUUUCUCUUCUCUUCUCUUCUCUCUUCUCUCUUCUCUUCUCUUCUCUUCUCUUUUCUAUUUUCUCUUCUCUCUUCUCUUUUCUCUCUUCUCUCUUCUCUACGGAGACACCUAGCAGACUCGAUAUAGACCCCAAUGAAGUGAGGGGCCGGGACCUUUUCUCUGAAGUUAAUGCCAAUGGAAGAACACAGUUCUUUCAUAGAGAUGCCAAUAAAGCCACUGUAGGAAGAUAUCCCCAAUAAUCUCUGUGUGGGACAUGGCAUAUGAAAUAUUUCAAACAAGGAGCAAUGUGGAGGACAGUGAGUCACAGGCUUACCCCUGAAGAGAUUUCCCAUUCCCAGGAGAGACGGUGAAGCAGAGGAGGAGGGCAAGUUCCCAAAAGUCAUAAAGCAAGGCUGCCUGGAAGUUACCACUCCUGACUUAAGCUUAGCCUAGUAAGAGAAGCCAACUGGUCCUUGGACAGAGUCUGGGAAGGAAAAUUCUACGAAGUUGUGUGAAAGCCCAAACCUGCAAGAGGGUGUAGAAAAACAAUUCAAUGAACAGAUUCAAGAGCCAGAGACCUAUUGGCUGAUGCCACUCUGUGCCUAAAACUCCUCAGUUGAAAGGAUAGCAAGGUACAAGUAGAAGCCUGCUUUGGGAGAUUAUUUGCAAAGAUUGUAAGAUCAUUCUGUAGGGUGUUUAGCCAAGUUCCCAUCAAUGAGAAACUCAUGGGUAAGACUCCAGUAAAAAGUCAAUUUGCGCAGCAGAAGCUAUUGGCUACAGAGCGGGACAUUGCUCCAUUACAGGAAGACGUAUCAGUGAGCACAUCCUUCAUGCAGUUGUAGGCUGGAUAACAAGACUGAACAGCAUGGAAUACCUUUAUUCUUGGCCCCAAAUAGGAGCAGAAGGAGAUGAGCUUGCAGAGCAACUUCCCCAAUCUGUUUGGGGUUGGGCGGUUUCGGAUUUCAGCAACUAAGAGGCAGGUGGAUCUCUGUGAGUUUGAGACCAGGCUGGUCUACAAGAGGUAAUUCCAGGACAGCCUCCAAAGCCACAGAGAAACCCUGUCUCAAACAACAACAGCAACAGCAACAACAACAACAACAACAACAGCAACAACAACAACAAAACCAAAAAGAAAAUAAAAAUAAACCUAAAUUC